CCUACGGGGAGCUGCAGUCGAGAAUCAUUCACAAUGGGGGAAACCCUGAUGGUGCGACGCCGCGUGGGGGAAUGAAGGUCUUCGGAUUGUAAACCCCUGUCAUGUGGGAGCAAAUUAAAAAGAUCGUACCACACGAGGAAGAGACGGCUAACUCUGUGCCAGCAGCCGCGGUAAUACAGAGGUCUCAAGCGUUGUUCGGAAUCACUGGGCGUAAAGCGUGCGUAGGCUGUUUCGUAAGUCGUGUGUGAAAGGCGCGGGCUCAACCCGCGGACGGCACAUGAUACUGCGAGACUAGAGUAAUGGAGGGGGAACCGGAAUUCUCGGUGUAGCAGUGAAAUGCGUAGAUAGCGAGAGGAACACUCGUGGCGAAGGCGGGUUCCUGGACAUUAACUGACGCUGAGGCACGAAGGCCAGGGGAGCGAAAGGGAUUAGAUACCCCUGUAGUC
rnacentral:rRNA from 1 species